AAAAAAUAAACGUCCCAGUUCGGAUUGCAGGCUGCAACCCGCCUGCAUGAAGCUGGAAUCGCUAGUAAUCGCGGAUCAGAAUGCCGCGGUGAAUACGUUCCCGGGUCUUGUACACACCGCCCGUCACACCAUGGGAGUCGGUAACGCCCGAAGUCAGUGACCCAACCGAGAGGAGGGAGCUGCCGAAGGCGGGACUGGUAACUGGGGUGAAGUCGUAACAAGGUACC
rnacentral:rRNA from 1 species